rnacentral:rRNA from 1 species
AUUGAACGCUGGCGGCAGGCCUAACACAUGCAAGUCGAGCGAGCGGCGGACGGGUGAGUAAUGUAUGGGGACUGCCCGAUAGAGGGGGAUAACUACUGGAAACGGUAGCUAAUACCGCAUACUAUCGGAUAACCCAUAUGGGAUUAGCUUGUAGGUGAGGUAAUGGCUCACCGAGGCGACGCUCCCUAGCUGGUCUGAGAGGAUGAUCAGCCACACUGGGAAGGAUAAACGGCCCAGAUUACUACGGAGGCAGCAGUGGGGAAUAUUGCACAAUGGGCGCAAGACUGAUGCAGCCAUGCCGCGUGUAUGAAGAAGGCCCUAGGGUUGUAAAGUAAUUUCAGUCGGGAGGCGUUACCGACAGAAGAAGAACCGGCGAACUCCGUGCCAGCAGCCGCGGUAAUAC